rnacentral:lncRNA from 1 species
UUCUUAAAGAUUUGCUCAUAGCAACUAUCGAAUUUGUUUUUACCAAAAAAAAAAAAACUAUCGAAUUUGCAUAAUGUCUUACAUUUAAUUUACUUUAUUUCAUCACCACUGAACAUCUACUACUUUUGUAAAUGGAAUUCCAAAACAAAAAAUAUAUUAAAAAUCUUCAUUGGAAACAAAAUUCACAAACGAUCAAAAAUCAUGCAAAUCUUAGACUUCCCUAUUUAUUUGGUUCAAAUCAAAACAUACCA